UACGUAGGGUGCAAGCGUUAAUCGGAAUUAAUGGGCGUAAAGCGUGCGCAGGCGGUUUUGUAAGUCUGACGUGAAAUCCCCGGGCUCAACCUGGGAAUUGCGUUGGAGACUGCAAGGCUAGAAUCUGGCAGAGGGGGGUAGAAUUCCACGUGUAGCAGUGAAAUGCGUAGAGAUGUGGAGGAACACCGAUGGCGAAGGCAGCCCCCUGGGUCAAGAUUGACGCUCAUGCACGAAAGCGUGGGGAGCAAACAGG
rnacentral:rRNA from 1 species